rnacentral:rRNA from 1 species
AGGACGAACGCUGGCGGCGUGCCUAACACAUGCAAGUCGAACGCGCUCCAUUCGGUAGCAAUACUGAUGAAGAGCGAGUGGCGAACGGGUGAGUAGCACGUGAGCAACCUGCCCCGAAGACCGGGACAACACCGGGAAACCGGUGCUAAUACCGGAUAUCCCUAUCGGACCGCAUGAUCUGAUAAGGAAAUGGAUUCCGCUUCGGGAGGGGCUCGCGGCCUAUCAGCUAGUUGGUGAGGUAACGGCCCACCAAGGCAUCGACGGGUAGCUGGUCUGAGAGGACGAUCAGCCACACUGGGACUGAGACACGGCCCAGACUCCUACGGGAGGCAGCAGUGGGAAUCUUGCGCAAUGGGCGAAAGCCUGACGCAGCAACGCGCGUGGAGGACGAAGGCUUUCUGAGUUGUAAACUCCUUUCAGCAGGGACGAUAGUGACGGUACCUGCAGAAGAGCACCGGCCAACUACGUGCCAGCAGCCG